rnacentral:rRNA from 1 species
UACGGAGGAUGCAAGCGUUAUCCGGAAUGAUUGGGCGUAAAGCGUCCGCAGGUGGCUGUGUAAGUCUGCUGUCAAAGAGCAAAGCUCAACUUUGUAAAGGCAGUGGAAACUACACGGCUAGAGUGCGUUCGGGGCAGAGGGAAUUCCUGGUGUAGCGGUGAAAUGCGUAGAGGUCAGGAAGAACACCGGUGGCGAAGGCGCUCUGCUAGGCCGCAACUGACACUGAGGGACGAAAGCUAGGGGAGCGAAUGGG